AUUAAAUUCUUUGUACAGGUGUUGCACGACUGUCGUCAGUUCGUGUCGUAAGAUGUUUGGUUAAUUCCUUUAACGAACGUAACUCUUGUCUUUAAAAUAUACUUAAAAUAAGAAUUUUUUAUAGUUUUAAAGAUACUGCCACCUAUAAGUUGGAGGAAGGUGAGAAUUAUGUCAAGUCACUGUGGCCCUAAUAAGCUGGGCUACACAUGUGCUACAUUGAAAAUUACAAAAAGUAA
rnacentral:rRNA from 1 species